CGGGCCGGCAUUAAGAAUAGUAAAGAUAGGAACAAUUGUUGGCACGAGAUUGGAACUGGACCAUUUUGAAUUUUUAGGCAUGCCGGCACCAGAUAGGAACUGCUCAUCAUGUGAAAUCUAUACUAAAGUACUUCCUUGAUGUAUCGUAACAGGAAAUGUUGGGAGUCAAGCCACCAAAUCAGGUCCUUUUCAAUGACCCAAAAUGUUUUAUGUGAUGGGCCUCAACAUAAUUGAUACAUUGUUCUAUGGAUGUUUCCAGAGCUGCCAUUUUCUUUAAAUUGAUACAUUGUGCACUGUUGAUGGAUUUUUAAGCUUGGUAUGCAGAUGCUACAUCUUAGGCAAAGGACGGUGAAUUGCUUGGCCGUUUGAAGCUAACCUUUGCGCAAAAUGCAGCAACCACAUCAAUUUUUGAUACCUUGCAAGAUCGGCUAUCCUUCCAAGGAGUUUUGUAGUCUCUUCUUCCCUCUCUGUUAUCGUUUUUGGUGUGAUUUUGACUUGUCCUGGUUGAUCUACUUCCUGUUGGAUAAUACUUGAUAUUUUCUAAAGCCAUGAUGACACACAUGUAAAUGGGAGAUGGAUGUGCAGAUGGUGGAAGUUCAUUCUCAUGCACCAGGCAGGCCACAUAGUUUCUUGUGGGUAGGGUUUUGUCAUGAAUCUACAGCCAUCUGAAGCAGAGGCAGGUUUUGAUAUCCGGGUCCCUCCGAAUGUUGAUGAAGAAUCUUUGGAGAAACGCAUUGCUGAAGAACGGGCACCUUCUUCCC